rnacentral:lncRNA from 1 species
GGUUUAUGGUUGGACCCUAGACCCUUAAUUGAUAACAAUCCGGUCAUAGAGGUUCCCUCUAUUUCUAAUGCCCCUUAAAGAAAAGAACAAAAAGUACUUGACCAGUUAAUUAAAAAAACAAUGAGAAAGAUAAGAGUGCCUAUUCAAUUGCAAUCAUAUCCUUGCAUUCACAAAGUGACUCUUCUGGCCUCGAGCACCAACCUAGCAGUUUGAAACUUGUUCUCUAAGAAUCAGCAAAUAUCUGCAAAGAACAUUGGAAAAAAGCUUCAGGGAACAGGAUAGAAGAAAAAACAAAUAAGGUCAUUGCUUAUCGAGUAUCACUCACAAAUAAGGUCAUUGCUAAUCAAGUAACACUCAACCCUGUAAGAAUAUCUUUAGAGAGUCGUGGUCUGCUUUGAGGUGUAUCAUCUACAACUCGCUUUUUCCGUAGGAAUUGUCGAAUAACCUUCUUCAGGCCUACAGGCAGCUAAGAAUUUGUUCCAGACUCCUGUUGCACCUUUUGCUUCUGUCGAAAGUCAGAAACAUGAGGUAACUGAACAUGCAUGCAGAAUUGUGUAUGCUUUUCUUCUUUUUUUCAAGGUAAUUACAGAGUAGACCAAAAAGUCACUAUCAACUGAUUGCGGCCAACUAGAUAUAAAUACAGCACUUAAUCCUUAUGUAGUGAUAUAAAUGCUUUUAUUGGAUUUGAAUAAGCAGAUAGUUAUCUAUAAAUAAAACUUAAAAAGGUCCCCUUCAAAGAACAUGGAAGAAUAAUUUCAUUACAUGAACCUCAAAGGGAUUGCAGAAAGCAAAGAAUCAAAUUGAGGAACUUAGCUUCUUUCCAAACUUGAAUCACUCAGACAUAUCGAAGAUGAUUGAUGUAAAAAUAUGCCGCCCAAACUAGAAUAUGAAAGAGAUCAAGAAAAAAAAAAGGAACCCAAAUCGGAAGAUGCUUCACCAAUGAUACUUACGUAAUUGCUAUUCCAAAGAUCAUAAUAGAAUGAAGACCUCUUCGUCCCACCUAAACAGAGUGAAAAGAUCAGAAAUAAAAGGACAAACCCUCAUAGAAGACACACUUAGUUACUUAAAAAGGAUUACAAGAUUACAAAGAAGGAGAAACAUAGUGCAAUUAAUUUCCACACCAAUUUAUUUGUUCACCGUUUAACAUAUUAGCAAACCUCUUUGCAAUCCCUUUCCUAGCAAAUUCAACACACCUACAUAAUAAACAUGAGAGCAAUUGUUAAACCCUAUCAUCAAAACAUCUUUGAGCUUUAAGGUAGAAGGAAAAUUCUUUAGAAUUCACAACGCCAAAAUCUAAGCUUUA